rnacentral:rRNA from 1 species
UGGGGAAUAUUGCGCAAUGGGCGAAAGCCUGACGCAGCAACGCCGCGUGAGUGAUGAAGGCCUUCGGGUCGUAAAGCUCUGUCGGAGGGAACGAAUGCUCCUGAAGUUAACAGCUUCAGGAUGUGACGGUACCCUCAAAGGAAGCACCGGCUAACUCUGUGCCAGCAGCCGCGGUAAUACAGAGGGUGCAAGCGUUGUUCGGAUUUACUGGGCGUAAAGGGCGCGUAGGCGGCAAUUCAAGUCAUCUGUGAAAUCUCCGGGCUUAACUCGGAACGGUCAGAUGAUACUGCUUUGCUAGAGUGCAGAAGGGGCAAUCGGAAUUCUUGGUGUAGCGGUGAAAUGCGUAGAUAUCAAGAGGAACACCUGAGGUGAAGACGGGUUGCUGGGCUGACACUGACGCUGAGGCGCGAAAGCCAGGGGAG